rnacentral:rRNA from 1 species
GACGAACGCUGGCGGCGUGCCUAAUACAUGCAAGUAGAACGCACAGUUUAUACCGUAGCUUGCUACACCAUAAACUGUGAGUUGCGAACGGGUGAGUAACGCGUAGGUAACCUGCCUGGUAGCGGGGAAUAACUAUUGGAAACGAUAGCUAAUACCGCAUAAUAUUAAUUAUUGCAUGAUAAUUGAUUGAAAGAUGCAAUUGCAUCACUACCAGAUUGACCUGCGUUGUAUUAGCUAGUAGGUGAGGUAACGGCUCACCUAGGCGACGAUACAUAGCCGACCUGAGAGGGUGAUCGGCCACACUGGGACUGAGACACGGCCCAGACUCCUACGGGAGGCAGCAGUAGGGAAUCUUCGGCAAUGGACGAAAGUCUGACCGAGCAACGCCGCGUGAGUGAAGAAGGUUUUCGGAUCGUAAAGCUCUGUUGUAAGAGAAGAACGGGUGUGAGAGUGGAAAGUUCACACUGUGACGGUAUCUUACCAGAAAGAGACGGCUAACUACGUG